AGCCCAAGGCUGAGAACAAGUGUGUACCACCACCUCCACCGAUGGGGACAUAUGGAUAUCAGGGGAACACUGGCAGUGUCCCCAAAGGAGUGAAUCCUUACUCUAUGAAAGCAGCAGGUCUAUGGGGCAGCAGAUACCCUACAAUGUAUUACAAUGAUGGGACCAACUCAAAGCCUCCAAGCCAUGGGCCUGGACUGCUUCCUAGAC